rnacentral:misc_RNA from 1 species
CACUGUCUCGACCCUCCUCCUCUCUCCUUCUCUCUACCUCCCCAUAAUCAUGGACUUGGGCGUCCUGAAAUGGGCUUCUUUGAGUUGAUGCCGCGCUGCGCCGCCCCACUUCGAUGCCUCCGUCACCACCACCAGGUGCCCGUGCAUCAGGUCCAGCGAUCACGCUUACGGGCACACGAAAGAUGCGGGAUAUUGAUAUGCUUGUGCGGUCCUCCUGAACGCUGCCCAUUCGCAACGCUCCUCGCACCUUCAUCUCCUCCUUUUGUUCCCUCUCCAUUUAUCCUUCUCCCAGCAGGGCCAUCGCCGUGUCUGUGCGUGGGAGGGCAGGAAGGAGGGAUCAACAAGCCGUACAGUACCCGGGUUGGGCGCCUCGGACUAUUCUUGUCUCCCGCCCCCUUGUUUCUCAGCAACCUCCUUUCUUUCCCAACGCUUUUCUCAUUUCUCGGCAUCUGCGUCUAGACGGCACGGCAUGCGCUCCUCCUCCUACCGCCUUCGCGGGUCGUCGAUGGUCGGCGCUGCGCUGAGGGGCACAUGUCGGUGCCUUUCAAGCGCGUCCACAUCGACAGCAAAAGCGACCGUAGGAGCAUCCUCUGUUCCGCCCCCAUCGGCAUCGAAAGCUAUGGGUCGUCUUUCCUUCGAUGCCUCUAAAGCCGGCCUGCAGAAGGUGGACAAGGCGUAUCUGGAGCAGGUCAUUCAAAAUAUGACGCGUGGCUCCGCAUUUUGCAAGGGGGAGCAGCGCAAGGAGGCGCUGCGGGCUGUGAAAAACAUGCGGCCCUCGCAGCGAAGCAGCGGCAGUUCUCGCUCCUAGCAGCCGCAGAAAAGCAUGUUUGGCAAGCCCGCGCCGAGGCCGUCGAGGAGGAACUGGAAGCGUCACGCCGUUUUUCGAGGUGGUUUAUCCACGUCGGCAUCGACGUGUUCUACGCUGCAGUAGAGGAGAGGCUCGAUCCGUCGCUGCGCGAGCGGCCGUUCGCUGUCGGCAGCUAUGCCACUGCUGACCACAACCAACUACACUGCUCGGGCACGCCGGGCUUUAUGGCGAAGAAGCUCUGUUCUUCUUUGUGGACACGCCCACCGCACUUUGACCGGCACCGCCGCGAGGCCGCCAAUGUGCGCGCCAUUGGUGCUCUGUACGAUCCCCACUACGUCGCCGUAGGGCUCGAUGAGCUAACUAUGGAUGUCACCGACUACCUUCGUACGCACCAGGAUUGCUCCUGCCGAGGAUGUGUGUGCGGAGUUCCGCCGCCGCGUCGAGGCGGCGACGCAGCCGACGUGCAGCGGCGGGAUCGCCCACACACCGGCCUUCGCAAAGGUGGCCAGCAACGUGAACAAGCCAAAUGGGCAGCACAUUCUAACGCUGCGCACACGCGAGGAGGUGCUAGCUCACGUCCGUGAUAUGCCGGUACGCGAUGUGCCAGGGAUCGGCUUUGCAACCGAGCAGCGGCUGCACGCCCUCGGUGUAGUCACGUGCAAGGACUUUCUCACGCACAAGGCGGAGCUAUGCUACUUGUUUCGCGAAAAGACAUUCGCGUUUUACCUCUCGGUGGGCCUAGGACUUGUGCGCGCCAACGUCAAUCGCUCCAACGCGGAGCGAGAAGCCGUCACGGCACCGCCGAGCGCGGCGGCGGCAAUGAAGCCCAGCUCUGCGGCACAUUUGAAAUCACGUCUUUCUCGUGCAUUGGCCAGUCCAUCGCCCUCUGCACUCCGAGCAGUCGUUCCAGAUCACCGUGCGCAGAAGUCGACGAGGAAGUGCACCACCCUGGCGUGCGGUGUGCCCAUCUGCGAAGCUUUUUGGUACCACCUACGUCAGCUCACUCAGGGCGCGCACGAUGUUCUCAUGAAGCAAGGCGCGGGCACCAAACACGUGUGCUUCUGCACGACCAGCCGCGCCUUCGUGUCGCGCAGCCAUGCCGCCAUGCUGUCAGAGGCUACAAACAGCUUUGCCAAGCUCUAUGCUGGACUCGAAAAGGUAGCAGAGCCGUUUGCAGCGCGGCACCGCGAGUUUCGCCUCAUCGGUGUCAAGUUCAGCAAGCUACAGCCUCUGCCGGGGGGGGGGGGGGGGGGGGGGGGAAGAAGGUCGGCGAAGGGCAAGGGUGCCGCUCCGGUCUGCAAGGCGAAAGUCAAAGCAGUCCGUCACUAUCCAAAGCCACGAGAUGACGCCGCAGCGCUAUGCAUCGGCGAAAAUUGCGAAGACGCCGCCAUCUCCAUUGAAGAAGCCGCCUCGCCAGGCCCAGCCAAGGUCGCCGGCCGCAAAGCGAGUCUCCGCUGCUCGUCGUCGAACAGCGCCAACACGUCGCGAGAAAAAAGCGGUCCGCUCUCGCGUAUGUGCGGCAUGCGUGACGGCCCCGCGGCGUCCCUCCCCCCUUCUCUCUCGGCCGCAUUGGAUGGUGAUUCGGUAGACGCCCACCCACACCCUGGAUUGCAGAACACGGUCCCCGCUUCUUGUCGGUUUAGUUGUUGUCUUUAUCGUUCUCACUCACCAUGUACCGCCUCGCAGCGCAGCGCGCGUGUGUACGUACUUGCCCCUACCAUCCCUCAUCUCUUUCGCUUUUAUUUGUUUGCCGCUGCUGCGCUUCCUUCGCAG